rnacentral:rRNA from 1 species
UACGGAGGGGGCCAGCGUUGUUCGGAAUUAUUGGGCGUAAAGCGUGCGCAGGCGGUGAUGUAAGACAGGUGUGAAAUCCCCGGGCUUAACCUGGGAACUGCAUUUGUGACUGCAUCGCUGGAGUGCGGCAGAGGGGGAUGGAAUUCCGCGUGUAGCAGUGAAAUGCGUAGAUAUGCGGAGGAACACCGAUGGCGAAGGCAAUCCCCUGGGCCUGCACUGACGCUCAUGCACGAAAGCGUGGGGAGCAAACAGG